UACGAGGGGGGCAAAUGUUGUUCGGAAUCACUGGGCGUAAAGCGCGUGUAGGCGGUCCGGUAAGUCCGCUGUGAAAGUCGGGGGCUCAACCCUGGAAUGCCGGUGGAUACUGUCGGGCUCGAAUCCGGAAGAGGUGACUGGAAUUCCUGGUGUAGCGGUGGAAUGCGCAGAUAUCAGGAGGAACACCGAUGACGAAGGCAGGUCAUGGGCCGCAACUGACGCUGAGGAGCGAAAAGCAUGGGGAGCGA
rnacentral:rRNA from 1 species